CACGUAGGGGGCAAGCGUUGUCCGGAUUUAUUGGGCGUAAAGAGCUCGUAGGCGGGUCAGCAAGUCCGGGGUGAAAUCUUUCGGCUCAACCGGAAAAGUGCCUUGGAUACUGCUGGUCUCGAGGGAGGUAGGGGUUUGUGGAACUUCUGGUGGAGCGGUGAAAUGCGUUGAUAUCAGAAGGAACGCCGGUGGCGAAAGCGACGAACUGGACCUCUUCUGACGCUGAGGCGCGAAAGCUAGGGGAGCCAACGGG
rnacentral:rRNA from 1 species